UCGGGAAUUUUGGGCAAUGGGGGAAACCCUGACCCAGCAACGCCGCGUGAAGGAUGAAGUAUUUCGGUAUGUAAACUUCGUAAGAAUAGGAAGAAUCAAUGACGGUACUAUUUGUAAGCUCCGGCUAACUACGUGCCAGCAGCCGCGGUAAUACGUAGGGGGCAAGCGUUGUUCGGAUUUACUGGGCGUAAAGGGCGCGUAGGCGGCGUGACAAGUCACUUGUGAAAUCUCUGGGCUUAACCCAGAACGGCCAAGUGAAACUGUCAUGCUAGAGUGCAGAAGGGGCAAUCGGAAUUCUUGGUGUAGCGGUGAUAUGCGUAGAUAUCAAGAGGAACACCUGAGGUGAAGACGGGUUGCUGGGCUGACACUGACGCUGAGGCGCGAAAGCCAGGGGAGCAAACGGGAUUAGAUACCCACGUAGUCCCUGAGCGGGCUGGCAAGGCGCAU
rnacentral:rRNA from 1 species